rnacentral:hammerhead_ribozyme from 1 species
GUCCAGAUGAGGAGUCACAAAUAGGACGAAAUGCAUAUCUUGGAU